GCUGCUGUGAUCAUACUGCAGUAGUGCCCUGGACAGCGACGGGUUGCAAGUAAUGUCAUUAACGCGUGUUUACGUCAAGUUUUAACGAUGUAGUUAGCAAAGACAAGGAAUAAAAUUUUUAUGUUCGUGUCAAGAGUACUGCGACAGCUUUGGAAAGCUACGAGUCCACUUCACUUUUUGGACGUUGUGGGUGACACUUCGCUCCUUAAGGCAGCAAGGAAAGGCCAUACAGUGAAAGUGGCAGUGGAAGGCAACAUUGGUUCUGGCAAGACGACUUUUCUUGAAGGUUGCCAGCAGUUUGUUGACACAACGGUACAGAUUGAACCAGUGAACAUAUGGAGAGAUUUACAAGGACAAAAUCUGCUGGAGCUGAUGUACAAGGAGCCGAAGCGAUGGAGCUUGGCAUUCCAGACCUAUGUUCAGCUGACGAUGAUGCAGUUGCACUUGGCACCUGUGCAGACUCCAGUAAAACUUAUGGAGCGAUCAUUGCACAGUGCACGUUAUGUCUUUAUCGAGAACUUGUACCGCAGUGGCCACAUGACAUCUCUGGAAUUGAGCAUCUUGGACCAGUGGUUUGGCUGGAUCAAUGAAAAUGUUGCUGUUGGAUUGGAUAUGAUAAGUAAGUACAUGCUGCCUGUUUCGCAAAUGUUUCAUAGUCUACUUGAGAACAAGGCCAGAAGUUGCAAUGUCCAGGAUCCAGAAACGAAAACGUCCUGAGGAGGCCCAACUUCCUUUCGAUUGGCUUUGUCAAGUUCAUGACCUUCAUGAAGAUUGGCUGCUUGGUCGCUCAAAGUUUCCACUGCCACCUAAGGUCUUGGUGAUAGAUGCUAACCAGGACUGCAUUGACAUCCAGCAAGAGUUUGCGCAGAACUUGCCCGACAUUCUGGGCCAGCACCACUUAUGUCAUGCCCCCUCGACUCAACAGCCUGUGUGACAUACCGCAUUCAUUGGUUUCA
rnacentral:misc_RNA from 1 species